rnacentral:lncRNA from 1 species
AAAAGACUCAAGAGAAGAUUAGUUACUCCUGAAAGUGCUCAGAAUACACUGCUAAGUGGUUAAUAAAUGCUACUGAAUUGAGUAAAACGUUUAGUGAAACUGGACUGACUGAUUCAACAGGGUGCUUUUAGAUUUCUCCUGUGCACAGAGAAUUAGACCAUCCCAUGGGCUUGCUAUGAUGAAGAACAGAACCCUUCCCUGGGAUAGAUGAAAAGGAGAAUCACCCCAAACAACAAGACAACCAAGCUACGAGCAGGCACGCUCCUAUCUGCAUGACUGAUAAAGACCAUCUGAUGCCGCCAGUUACUCAGUGAGGCCAUUCUCUAGGCAAAGUCACAAUAUUUAUUUUAACACCAGUGACUAUUGAGUGUGUGUGUAUAUCUAUGUAGUGAUAAAACACUGCUGUAAUAUGUACACAGGAUCUGAACAAGAUCAAUUCAUCAGGACCAUCAUGCAGUCUACAUAUGAGAGAGGUUGUUUAUGUAGUGGGUUGAUAGAAUACCGUGAUACAAGCCACAGAAAAGCACUGUCUGAUGUUCAUAAUGCAUGCUAUGUAUUUCACAAUAUGGGCAUUAUGUAAAUAAUUAAUAGCAUGGACUAGAGAUAGCAUUGAUAGGAAGGAGAGAGACAGCAUGCAAGAAAGUCUGCUCAAAUACGCUAAUGAGUAGGAUAGAAAUAUUUCACCAAGCACAUCACACAUUUUAGGGACUCUUGUUAUCAAGCAUUGUCUUGUGGGAUGGCUGAUUUUUCUUCUCAAUGACUGCCAGUCCUACAGAUACAAUUUUGAAGUAUUUUAUUUGUAAAUUUAAAAAGCUGUUUCCACUGUCUAUGUGUAUGAAAGUCAAUGUGGAAAGAAAUUGCCCCAUGAAAUAGGACAAUAAAAUGCAACUAUUUGAACUGCUUAGAUGCCAGUCUUUUUCUCAGAAAUGUUCUAUUCAGGAAUACAGUAAGCUUAAUUGGCAAGAUAUUGACUAGCCUAUAUGUAAUUUAUCUUUCAACCAUUACUCAGUGUUUCCCCAAGUACCCUGUUGUCUACCUAGAGAGGAGCACUGUACUGAUGAGCUGGAGCUCAGGUCCCCAAGGAUGUCUCCUUUUCCUAAUACAUAUAUAUUAAUUCCCAUUAACCUCAUUUAGAGUAAGGAGUAAUGUGGGCAUGAAGAGGAGGCCAGACAGCCAGAUGGCUGUGAGUGUCUGUUACGGUAUAUGAGUAACUCUUCCCACUAUUCAGCCUUUAUUUAACCAAU